rnacentral:rRNA from 1 species
ACGCUCGACACCUACGGGAGGCAGCAGUGGGGAAUAUUGCACAAUGGGGGAAACCCUGAUGCAGCACGCCGCGUGAGCGAAGAAGUAUUUCGGUAUGUAAAGCUCUAUCAGCAGGGAAGAAACUGACGGUACCUGACUAAGAAGCCACCGGCUAAAUACGUGCCCGCAGCCGCGAUAAUCUGAGCGGGCUGGCAAGGC